rnacentral:rRNA from 1 species
CGUACACUCCUGCGGGAGGCAGCAGUGGGGAAUAUUGCACAAUGGGCGCAAGCCUGAUGCAGCCAUGCCGCGUGUGUGAAGAAGGCCUUCGGGUUGUAAAGCACUUUCAGCGGGGAGGAAGGCAAUGCGGUUAAUAACCGUGUUGAUUGACGUUACCCGCAGAAGAAGCACCGGCUAACUCCGUGCCAGCAGCCGCGGUAAUACGGAGGGUGCAAGCGUUAAUCGGAAUUACUGGGCGUAAAGCGCACGCAGGCGGUCUGUCAAGUCGGAUGUGAAAUCCCCGGGCUCAACCUGGGAACUGCAUUCGAAACUUGCAGGCUUGAGUCUUGUAGAGGGGGGUAGAAUUCCAGGUGUAGCGGUGAAAUGCGUAGAGAUCUGGAGGAAUACCGGUGGCGAAGGCGGCCCCCUGGACAAAGACUGACGCUCAGGUGCGAAAGCGUGGGGAGCAAACAGGAUUAGAUACCCCAGUAGUCCCAUGA